GACGAAACGCUGGCGGCGUGCCUAAUACAUGCAAGUCGAGCGAGCUUGCCUAGAUGAAUUUGGUGCUUGCACCAAAUGAAACUAGAUACAAGCGAGCGGCGGACGGGUGAGUAACACGUGGGUAACCUGCCCAAGAGACUGGGAUAACACCUGGAAACAGAUGCUAAUACCGGAUAACAACACUAGACGCAUGUCUAGAGUUUAAAAGAUGGUUCUGCUAUCACUCUUGGAUGGACCUGCGGUGUAUUAGCUAGUUGGUAAGGUAACGGCUUACCAAGGCAAUGAUGCAUAGCCGAGUUGAGAGACUGAUCGGCCACAUUGGGACUGAGACACGGCCCAAACUCCUACGGGAGGCAGCAGUAGGGAAUCUUCCACAAUGGACGCAAGUCUGAUGGAGCAACGCCGCGUGAGUGAAGAAGGGUUUCGGCUCGUAAAGCUCUGUUGGUAGUGAAGAAAGAUAGAGGUAGUAACUGGCCUUUAUUUGACGGUAAUUACUUAGAAAGUCACGGCUAACUACGUGCCAGCAGCCGCGGUAAUACGUAGGUGGCAAGCGUUGUCCGGAUUUAUUGGGCGUAAAGCGAGUGCAGGCGGUUCAAUAAGUCUGAUGUGAAAGCCUUCGGCUCAACCGGAGAAUUGCAUCAGAAACUGUUGAACUUGAGUGCAGAAGAGGAGAGUGGAACUCCAUGUGUAGCGGUGGAAUGCGUAGAUAUAUGGAAGAACACCAGUGGCGAAGGCGGCUCUCUGGUCUGCAACUGACGCUGAGGCUCGAAAGCAUGGGUAGCGAACAGG
rnacentral:rRNA from 1 species